rnacentral:rRNA from 1 species
AGAGUGAACGCUGGCGGCAGGCCUAACACAUGCAAGUCGAACGGCAGCACAGUAAGAGCUUGCUCUUAUGGGUGGCGAGUGGCGGACGGGUGAGGAAUACAUCGGAAUCUACCUUGUCGUGGGGGAUAACGUAGGGAAACUUACGCUAAUACCGCAUACGACCUACGGGUGAAAGCGGAGGACCGCAAGGCUUCGCGCGAUUGGAUGAGCCGAUGUCGGAUUAGCUAGUUGGCGGGGUAAUGGCCCACCAAGGCGACGACCCGUAGCUGGUCUGAGAGGAUGAUCAGCCACACUGGAACUGAGACACGGUCCAGACUCCUACGGGAGGCAGCAGUGGGGAAUAUUGGACAAUGGG